rnacentral:rRNA from 1 species
GACGAACGCUGGCGGCGUGCCUAAUACAUGCAAGUCGAGCGCAGGAAACUGACGGAACUCUUCGGAGGGAAGGCAGCGGAAUGAGCGGCGGACGGGUGAGUAACACGUAAGGAACCUGCCUCAAGGAUUGGGAUAACUCCGAGAAAUCGGAGCUAAUACCGGAUAGUUCAACGGACCGCAUGGUCCGUUGAUGAAAGGCGCUUCGGCGUCACCUUGAGAUGGCCUUGCGGUGCAUUAGCUAGUUGGUGGGGUAACGGCCCACCAAGGCGACGAUGCAGAGCCGACGUGAGAGGAGGAUCGGCCACACUGGGACUGAGACACGGGCCAGACUCCUACGGGAGGCAGCAGUAGGGAAUCUUCCACAAUGGACGAAAGUCUGAUGGAGCAACGCCGCGUGAGUGAUGAAGGUUUUCGGAUCGUAAAACUCUGUUGUAAGGGAAGAACACGUACGAGAGGAAAUGCUCGUACCUUGACGGUACCUUACGAGAAAGCCACGGCUAACUACGUGCCAGCAGCCGCGGUAA